GUUUCCUCCCCUGCAAAAAUACUGACGUUCUGGAAGAUUGACAACCAGAAAUGGGAGUUGACGCGCCAAGAGUCUACUCUCCACCACGAACUUGAUAGGCGCCCUGCUACGAAAAUCCAUACAAGAAACGUUCCACCGGUAUCUUUGAGUCUUAAAACACGCUUCUUAUGCUCCGCAGACACACACAAAACCACUUCUUGUGGCUCACAACGAUUUUCACUUCUUGUGACUGUCACCCAGAUUUUCCUCGAGACGUUAAACGGAUUUCCAAACAUGGCAGGACCGCUGGCUGCUGACUGAUACACUGAUCCAGACAGCCUAUUUCCAGCUGAAUGUGACCAAUAGCAUUUGAUUUGAAGGUGUGUCUCAACCCCCAGUGUCUGGCCCUACACAGCUUCACCGACCUCCACCCAGGCCUGUUCAACAUUGGCAACAGGUUGUUGGUGAAUGCGGAUCUAUUCUUUAAACUCUGGAGCAAGCUCAGACUGGGCCAGCAUCCUAACCAGGCAGUCAGGACAAAUCCUGGACUACAUCCACAACCACCCUGUCAAAUCUCUGAGACCCGAGGAGUUGGCCAAUGUCCAGGAGCUGCUGGUUAGUGGCUACUGGGCCUUUGAGUGUCUGACGGUGAGGGACUACAAUGACAUGAUCUGUGGUGUGUGUGUGGCAUCGCCCCCAAGAUGGAGAUGUACCAGCGGUAAUACACACACAAUGUGCUGGAGCUCAGGAAUGUGGAGUUUACGUGGCCAGACUUCGGGGCUCCAGAUGAGGUGCAUGUGGAUGACUUCUGACUGACCAUGGAGAGUGAGGCCAUUGAGCAGGCAGCGUUCCCCUGCAGCGUCGCCAUCACACGGGUUGACGCAUCUAUCAUCGCCCCCCUUCAUCCCCCCACUGAGGAGGGGCUCCACCGUCAUCAACACAGAGAAGGACAAGGCCCUACUACUCACACAACACAGUUGUGGUGCGUCUGAUCCACGAGGGCCAGCUCAGACGAUACCGGUUGGACGAGCACAGUGCAAAGGAGCUCAAAGCCAUACGGGACUGCUGUGGAGAGAUGGCUGCAACCAGAGAGCAACAAGGAUGAGUUGCUGGUCUCUCUCAUCUCCCUGUAUAUACGUGUUCAGAACGGCCUCUUCGCGACACCCUCCACACCUCACCGCAGGCGAGCUGUCCAAGAUCUGCCUCCAUCAGUUAGCCGCAUACAACUCACCAGUCAAUCCAUCCAGUAGAAUAUCAAUCAGUCAAUCAGUCAUCCACCAUAAUCCAUUCAACUAUUGCUCAGUUUGUCACGUUCCUGACCUAUUUCUGUUAGUUUGUUGUAUGUGUUAGUUGGUCAGGACGUGAGUUUGGGUGGGCAUUCUAUGUUUUCUGUUUCUAUGUU